CCAAUAGCGUAUAUUAAAGUUGUUGCAGUUAAAAAGCUCGUAGUUGAAUUUUGGGUCUGGCCGGGCGGUCCGCCCUCCGGGUGAGUACUGUUCCGACGCCGGGCCUAUCCUUCUGGAGAGUCGGCAUGUCCUUUAUUGGGUGUGCCGGGGAACCAGGACCAUUACCUUGAAAAAAUUAGAGUGUUCAAAGCAGGCGUAUGCUCGGAUACAUUAGCAUGGAAUAAUGAAAUAGGACGCGUGGUGCUAUUUUGUUGGUUUCUAGAACCACCGUAAUGAUUAAUAGGGAUAGUUGGGGGCAUUAGUAUUCAAUUGUCAGAGGUGAAAUUCUUGGAUUUAUUGAAGACUAACUUCUGCGAAAGCAUUUGCCAAGGAUGUUUUCAUUAAUCAAGAACGAAAGUUAGGGGAUCGAAGACGAUCAGAUACCGUCGUAGUCUUAACCAUAAACUAUGCCGACUAGGAAUCGGGCGAUGUUAUUCUCAUGACUCGCCCGGCGCCUUAUG
rnacentral:rRNA from 1 species